ensembl:misc_RNA Metazoa_SRP Metazoan signal recognition particle RNA
GCUGGGCACGGUGGCUCGUGCCUGUAAUCCCAGCACUUUGGGAGGCUGAGGCAGGUGGAUCACCUGAGGUCAGGAGUUCAAGACCAGCCUGACCAACAUGGAGAAACCCUAUCUCUA